rnacentral:rRNA from 1 species
GAUGAACGCUGGCGGCGUGCCUAACACAUGCAAGUCGAACGUGAGAGCUUAGCAAUAGGCUUGAAAGUGGCGAACGGGUGAGUAACACGUAGGUGACCUGCCGCGCAGAGGGGGAUAACCACUGGAAACGGUGGCUAAUACCGCAUGGUACCGGCUAGAUGGGAAUCUAACUGGUUAAAACUAUGGUGCUGCGCGAGGGGCCUGCGUCCGAUUAGUUAGUUGGCGGGGUAACGGCCCACCAAGACGAUGAUCGGUAGCUAGUCUGAGAGGAUGAUUAGCCACACGGGAACUGAGACACGGUCCCGACUCCUACGGGGGGCAGCAGUGAGGAAUAUUGCACAAUGGACGCAAGUCUGAUGCAGCAACGCCGCGUGGAGGAUGACGGUCUUUGGAUUGUAAACUCCUUUUCUCAGGGAAGAGAAUGGACGGUACCUGAGGAAUAAGUCACGGCUAACUACGUGCCAGCAGCCGCAGUAAAAC